GCUCCGGUGGCCUAAGUGGUUAGAGCGUCCGCCUAAGAUGCGAGAGGCUGCUAGUUCGAAUCAAGGCUGAGUUCGAACCA